rnacentral:tRNA from 1 species
ACUAUUUUGGCAGAAAAGUGUAAUGAUUUUAGAAGUCAUGAAUAUAUAAUUUAUUAUAUAUAUAGUA